UACGGAGGGAGCUAGCGUUGUUCGGAAUUACUGGGCGUAAAGGGCGCGUAGGCGGCUUGGUCAGUCCCGUGUGAAAUCCCUCGGCUCAACUGAGGAACUGCACGGGAAACUGCCUGGCUUGAGUUCGGGAGAGGGAAGCGGAAUUCCGGGUGUAGCGGUGAAAUGCGUAGAUAUCCGGAGGAACAUCGGUGGCGAAGGCGGCAUCCUGGACCGGUAUUGACGCUGAGGCGCGAAAGCCAGGGGAGCAAACGGG
rnacentral:rRNA from 1 species